GGGCCAGUGGCGCAAUGAAUAACGUGUCUGACUACGGAUCAGAAGAUUCUGGUUCUGACUCCUGGCUGGCCCG
rfam:Salmo salar isolate Sally breed double haploid chromosome ssa12, whole genome shotgun sequence.